rnacentral:lncRNA from 1 species
AUAUUGGCAAAAGCCGGGUACCAGGAAAAGCACAUGGGCUGAGAGGUCCCUGAGCUUAGCCUGACCACCACACAGCAAGAGAUGUCAGAACAUCAAGGCCUGCGCUCCCUUAAUCCUUACAUCUUGGUUCUGCUGCUUCAACACAGGGAGCCUUGCUGGCCCUAAGGGACAGCCCCUCCCAUGGCUAGCCAGUCCCUAGAGAGAAAAUGUCACUCUGAUAACCAUGCCUGCCCUGUGCAAACUAGUCACCCUAAGGCCAAACAGGGCCACCUCCUUUGUUAGACUCUCACUUAGGAAUACUGCUCUGCCUAAACCUCUCCAUGGCCAGACACCUAAAACAAAACGCCCCACCCAGGAGACAGAAGCAGCUAUGGCCAGUCAUAGACCCAAGGCCUGUUUGUCCUUCCUUGCCCAUCCCAUCCGACCUGACCAAGCCUAAGGGCUGCUGGGUGGCCCUGUGGUAUAAGUGCUGAAAGACUCCGAGAGGAGCCCCUCCCUCAGGCGUCAGGACAAUAGCGGACACCCAAGAACUCACGACAGACCGAGCUUGUUGCAAACCACAUGAGGCUUUAUUCGGGGAAAGCCAGAGCUCUGGGGACGACUCAUAUCCCAUGCAGGGGUAGAGGAGUCGACCUCGAGGGGAAAGAGGUCCCAGUUUUUAUAGGCCCUCAGGGGGGAAAGGAGAAGGGGGAGAGUAGGGGAUUUCCAGAUCUAAACAAUGUCUAUUCUCAAGAAAUGGGUAUGGGAGGGGUACAAGGAACGAGUCUAAUGAAGGUGCAGCAAUGGGCACACACCUGGUCAGAACAUUGGCAGACACACAGGUUCAAGGAGUGGCCAGAGCAUUGUGCACCUCUAUUUUUCUAAAUCAGUGAAGCUAGUUCUGCUAACACUGACGUCUAUUUUGCCAAUUUCAGGGCUUCUGUGUCCUUUUACAUUCUGUCAGGAUCUUUCAGUGCCUUCUUCUUGUAAAGGUCAAGACUAAACUAUCCAUUCAGUGACAAUGGUGUUUAUCUGGCUUAUUGUUUUUUCUUUCUUUUUCUUUCCUUUUUCAUGCUGGGGUUGGAACUCAGGGCCUCUUAUGCCUUUGGUAAAGGCUCUACCAGGGAGCCAUCCAGUAGCCUGAAUUUGAAAGCAAGAACUCUUCAUGACCACCUUCUAGAGAUAAGCAGAGUGGCCCCCUUUCUUUCUAAUUACAGCUAGGAUGAGAUAGAUGGUCUGAAGUGAACCUCACAGUGGAUGGGCAGACAUUCCUAUUGCUGCUACAAUGUAUGGAGUUCAGACUGCAGCAAACACCCGCAAUGAGGGAUGUCUCAGCAACGCCCACAAUGAAAAUAAGAACAGGGACCAAGUAGAGUCCACCUGUUGAGGCUGGCCAUCACAAAGGAGAUAGGUUGGAGGAGCCUUGCUGUCACAUAUCCUCAUAGUGCCCCCUUAGGGACUGGUAAAACAACAUCUUUCAGCUCCUUUGGGUGAUCUGACCUCAUCCUGCCCUUUGUUAUCUGUCCAACAAAAGAGUAAAUAAACACUGUUUCAAGAUUGU